GACGAACGCUGGCGGCGUGCUUAACACAUGCAAGUCGAACGAUGAAACCUAGCUUGCUAGGUCGAUUAGUGGCGAGCGGGUGAGUAACACGUGACUAACCUGCCCCUUUCUCUGGGAUAACGCUCCGAAAGGAGUGCUAAUACCGGAUACUCACACCGAGGCACAUGCCUUGGUGUGGAAAGUUUUUCGGAAAGGGAUGGAGUCGCGGCCUAUCAGCUUGUUGGUGAGGUAACGGCUCACCAAGGCGACGACGGGUAGCCGGCCUGAGAGGGCGAACGGCCACACUGGGACUGAGACACGGCCCAGACUCCUACGGGAGGCAGCAGUGGGGAAUAUUGCACAAUGGGCGCAAGCCUGAUGCAGCGACGCCGCGUGAGGGAUGAAGGUCUUCGGAUUGCAAACCUCUUUCAGUAGGGACGAAGCGAAAGUGACGGUACCUAAAGAAGAAGCACCGGCUAACUACGUGCCAGCCGCCGCUGUAA
rnacentral:rRNA from 1 species